rnacentral:tRNA from 2 species
AGGGAAGAAGCUACAACCUAUAGCAAUUAGCUGUUACCUAAUAGAAAGUGAAAAUUUCACCUACCCUA